CAAUGGCAGUGAAAUACAACGGGACAAGGGGCAUUUUAAUCCCCUCUAGUAAAAUAAGAAUGGUCCACCUAAAAGCUUAGCUAUCUAUUCAUCCAAGUUCACAGUUACCCGAAUAUAGAAAGUUGCAACCACAGAUAAAUGGUUACACAAUGACAGUCGUCAUGAGCGACUAAUUAUUCAACACCUUAUUUGGUGUAGCUUGUUACAUAGGUCGUGAAUGGGAACUUAUUUUUCAUCUGCAUAUGUCCAUUCGGUAAGGUCGGGUGCAGGAAUUAAUACCAGCACUACACCCUCACCUAUUGAAAAAAAAAAAAAAUUAAGAGUAACGAUGUU
rnacentral:lncRNA from 1 species